GGGGGGGGGGGGGGGGGGGGGGGGGGGGGGGGGGGGGGGGGGGGGGGGGGGGGGUGGGGGGGGUGGGGGAGGGGGGGGCGGGUGGGUGGCGCGGGAGUACGCUGCCCUGGGCUGUGGGGUGGCGUCGGGGGAGUGGGGCUGAUGCCGGCUAGGAGCUCCUGCUGCAUGGUGGGGGUUGGAAAGUUUCGGCGGUUGGUGAUGGACUCGCGGCUUAUCAGCUUGUUGGUGGGGUAGUGGCUUACCAAGGCUUUGACGGGUAGCCGGCCUGAGAGGGUGACCGGCAACAUUGGGACUGAGAUACGGCCCAGACUCCUACGGGAGGCAGCAGUGGGGAAUAUUGCACAAUGGGCGGAAGCCUGAUGCAGCAACGCCGCGUGCGGGAUGACGGCCUUCGGGUUGUAAACCGCUUUCGCCUGUGACGAAGCGUGAGUGACGGUAAUGGGUAAAGAAGCACCGGCUAACUACGUG
rnacentral:rRNA from 1 species